rnacentral:lncRNA from 10 species
GUAAGCACCCAAGAAUGCGAACUGCUACUAUUGUGGUCAUGAUUUUCUAGCUUGUAGCAGAACUACUACUUAUUUAGAUCAUGGCAUCUAAAAAUACAUUUCCUCAAAUAUCAAAAGAGCCAGGACCAGAAUCUUGGCCUCUGGCCUCAAAGAUAAUGCCUUUUCCCGGCAUUUCCCCUGGACAGGCUGGGAAACAUCGCACCACAAAAUCUACACUCUUUCAAUCCUAAAAGAGUUUAAAAAGGUAAAGAAGUACAUGGGUGAUUUUGGAUCAAUUUUCCAUUUGAAACAGCUCAGCAAACAGCCGACUACGCCUAAUGGGCCCUUGAAAUGCUCUCUUUUAUGAAAUUCCAGAUGUGAAAAAGGACACACUACAAAUUUCCUCUUCCAUAAAAUGAAGAUAACAGUAGUACCUCUUGGAUGGAUGUGUUAAGAAAAAGAUAAUGCCUGUGAAGUACCUAGCGCAGGACCUAGCACAGUACAUAGCACGGUACCUGGAGAACUAUCAGCUGGUGUGUUCAUCUCAUUCUGAGAAUCAGGCUGAAGGAACAACCUCUAUCUGGAACAUGCUUUACAUAUCAGAAGGAGAAGAAAGAAAGCAGGGAAAGAAAACAGGCAUCAUGAUGGCAACUAAAGGGUGAUGAGCUUGUUUCCCACUUCACUGGAAAACAAAAUGGGAAUAUUCAGAAGAUAAGUUCCACAGCUCCCAUAGCAUCUUCCUAUCUACCAGGAUUUGGACCUUCUACACCCUGCUCCCAUUAAGGAAUUAGCCUUGCUCUUGUCCAAAACUAGCCUUUGCGUAUGCCUUAGAUCCUAUCCCCCUUGCUUGCUCACAGGCUUUGCUCCAGCAAUUCUCCCUAUUUUUCCCCUAUACCAUCAGCUUCCUCUCUCUACUAGGUCAUUUCCACCAGCACACAACAAUACUGUCUCUCUCAUCUUAGAAAUGGAAACUAACAAAAUUGAGUUCACUUUUCCUUCUGACACUAUCCCUUUUCUACCUCCCCCACUUUACAGCAAAACUCUUUGAAAGCUGCCUGAAUUUCACUGCUUCCAUUUCCUCUCCUCUUCUCACUUAAACCUACUGCUGCCAGAACCGGGACUCCACCACCUCACCAGACCCCUGCUUGUCAAUAUCAUCAAUGACUUCCAUCUUGCUAAAUCCAUUUCUUGUCCCCAUUGAACUUGACCCUCAGUAACACCUUGUCAAAUUAACCACUCCCUUCUCAUGGAAAUGAUUUCUUGUUUUCUAAGACACUACACAUUUCGUUUUCCUUCAACACCCCUGGAUGCUGCUUCCCAGUCUUGUCCCUUAACCUCCUAGCACUGAAGUGAUGCAGGGCUCAGUCCACAGAUCUCUUCAUCUUUCCUGUUCACUCCAUACUCACCCUCUUGGUAAUUCCCUUCCAGUUUCAUCGUUUAAAUGGCAUCUGUCUGCAAAUGAUUAUCAAAUGUAUGCCUCCAGCCAUGGCCACUGCUCUCAACGUUAGCUUAUCCAUCUAACUGUCAACUCUGUAUCUCUACCUGGACGCCUGAUGGAGGUCUCCAAUGUACCAUGCCCUAAACUGAAAUUUUGAUCUUCUUUAUCCACAGAAUCUGCUCGACCCUAUCUCAGUUAAAGGCAUAUGUUACUAAAGCCAAAGUCAGCAAAGAAGGAGCCUCCAUGCUUGGAAACAACCCAGCUAACUGCCAUCUGUGUGGUAGCUUGAGUGUGGAUUGAAGAACGGAGAGUCAGACCUUAUCUAGGAAAAUAAAUGAACCUUUAGCUCUGGAAGGAGAUAGAAUGGAGAAUGCCCUAUAAGGAGACAAAGAAGAAAUAGCCUGAGUUUUUAAAAGAUGGAUUGAGAUCCCUUUCUCUCCUCCUGGUUGCUGAGGAAGACAUACAUAUCCCACUGCAAUAAAUCGGGGGAUGAUCAUUCAUACCAUGACAAAAUGGCAGAAAAUGUGCAACUCCAAGACCAAGAAAACGUGAAGAGGCUGUGACUACCUCCAUGUGAGAAACAUCUGAGUUCCUCCUGAUCCUAAGACCUCCCCACAAUGUAUGUAUGAUAGCAAUUUCCUCUGACAGAGCAGUGAAUUUGAUGAUAGUGCAUCGAUUGCUGUAAAUUGUCUGCUGGGUUACCUGUUCCUACCACCUUAGAGCACUCACAGCUCAGUGACUGUGGAAGUCAGCUUCCAAGAUGUUCCCCUAUGAUCCUCCCCUCCUUGUAUUCACAUCUGUAAAGAUUCCUCCCACAAUGAAUCACAGUUUCGUUUUGUGACCAACAGAAUACAGCAGAAGUAAGGAAAUGUGACUUCCAAGGCUAAUGAAUAAAAGGCUUUGCAGUUUUCUCCUUGGUCAGUUGGAAGCCACCUGCCAUGGACACUCAAGCAGUUCUGUGGAGAGGCUCAUGAGGGAAAGAACUGAGGCCCCUCCACCAACAUCCAGCACCAACUUGUCAGCUGUGUCUGUGAGCCAUCUAGGAAUGAGACCCUCCUGAAGCCCUGGUGAAGCCUUCAGAUGACCGUAGCCCCAGCCAACAUUUGGCUGCAGUCUCAUGGCAGGCUCCAAGCCAAACCCUACCAGUGAAUUUGCUACCAAAUUCCUGACUCAUGGAAACUGUGUGUGUAAUAAAUGUUUAUUGUAUGAUAAAGCCACUAAAUUUAGGAGUAAUUUCUUACACAGCAAUAGAUAACUAGUAGAGUCACUUUGCAUCUCUUAGGGUCUAUGGCAAAUGACACAUAAUGAAUAGAGAAAUUGGAACAGACAACUGGUUGUCUGUUUCAGUACAGAAACUGGUUGGUAUUAAGAGUGACAAUUUUUAUUAUAGUUCAAGCUAUAGUACUGUAUGUUCUUGAAUAAACUAUGCUAAUCUAGGCCAUCCAAAGACUUCCCAAAAUGUAUGGUGAGAAUAACAUUUCCAAGAUACUAAACCAAUGUUUGUAGCUCCUGAUAAUUCCUAAUUCCUGGUUGCCCCAAGCCACCACCUGCCCCAACUAAAACAAAAGAAUUGAUCACAUCAUAAUAAAAUUAGAACCUUCAAAGAACAGGCACUGAUCUCUUGGAAUUUUUAUUUUAAACUUAAGUUUACAUGACAAUCUGCUUCCACUUACAUGAUAAUCUGAAAGCAUAUGUUGAAAUGGCAUGGUUCUUGGUUGCAGAAAACAGAAAUGAAAUCUACCUAAGCAGAAAUUAAAAUUAUAGGAGGGAUAUUGGGAGCUCAUAACAUCCAGAGGCUGACUAAACAAACAGACUUCAACGUCAAAAGCAGCCCCCACCCUGGAGGCUAGGGAUCUAUGAGAGCAAAUUGAACAUCUGAUCUCUCAGCUCUCACCAAACUCACACCAUGGCAGAACCUUCACGAAGGGAGGAAGAGACUCAGAUGCUGAACACAAGGAGAG